AUUGAACGCUGGCGGCAUGCCUUACACAUGCAAGUCGAACGGCAGCGGACCUUCGGGUGCCGGCGAGUGGCGAACGGGUGAGUAAUAUAUCGGAACGUACCUUUCAGUGGGGGAUAACGUAGCGAAAGUUACGCUAAUACCGCAUAUUCUGUGAGCAGGAAAGUAGGGGAUCGCAAGACCUUGCGCUGAUUGAGCGGCCGAUAUCAGAUUAGCUAGUUGGUGAGGUGAAGGCUCACCAAGGCGACGAUCUGUAGCGGGUCUGAGAGGAUGAUCCGCCACACUGGAACUGAGACACGGUCCAGACUCCUACGGGAGGCAGCAGUGGGGAAUUUUGGACAAUGGGCGCAAGCCUGAUCCAGCCAUGCCGCGUGAGUGAAGAAGGCC
rnacentral:rRNA from 1 species